UUACCUUAAAAAUCAGCUUUCCUGUUAAUACAUUAAUAGCAUCAAGGUGCAUAAGAUCAACAAGCAAAAAUUCUGAAUUACAUUGCAAGAGAAAAGGGUCUCAGCUGGAAUAAUACAGCCUGAUAUUUCAAAGUUUAAGUAUUAGUUUCAGACUUGGCAGAAACUCCAUCUAUUUGCUCUCUGUGUCAAAACAAACUAUUUACUAUGCCUGUUUUACUCACUCAUUUUUCAGGGGAUAUUCUGUGCUUCUCAGCUGGCUGUAUCGUAGUCAUAAAAUGCUCUCUUCACAUCUGGAUUUCUGUUCAGACCUACCAACAGAUGCAGGGUCUGUGAUUUUUUUUUUUUUUAAAUUUAGUCUUUUUGCCCCUUUCAGUUUUGGUUUUGUUAUUUUUUGACUCUAUUGGCUCAGUCUCAAGUGAGUAGAGCUCAAGGUAGCAUAUUGUGUGUGUGUGCUGCUACUGAGCUGCCACAUUCCAUCCUAUUUCUGCUCCCAGAUCAGGAUAUGAGGCAACUGAGAUAUUCCUUUGUGGAAUCUAGUAUAGACUAUUCCAUGGUUUUGGCAAAAUCUCAGUAAUGUGCUCUACAACAACAUCAUGCCAAUAUAUAUACAGUCUUGUAAUGUGUGACUGGGUUAAAUAUAAAAGCACCAAGACAAGCAAAAAGAAAAAAAAAAAAGCCAAAAUAAAAACCACUGAAACUUUCUUCUCAACCACACAAUUUUAGGACUAUGUUGAAAUUUUAACAAAGAAACUACUGGCAGAUCACUUGGAUCUUUUAUUUAGUAGAGACUUUAUGGUCAUAUAUAUUUGUCAGUGCACAAAAUGCAUUCAAACAUUACAGUUUUGCUCAUGUUUGAAUGAGAAUUAUUUCUCUUUUUUUGGCCAUUUUGUGGCUUUCCGCUAUUAUGACCAGGAGUAAAAAUAAAACUGUGUUUUCUUAUCUGAUGGCACAGAGCUUUCAUCAUACCUUAAUUUGCCUCCUGAGCCCAAGCUUCAUUCACAGCUCUGUGUUCAAUUUAGCCGUGGGCUCGACCAUCUACUUUUUUUUUUUUUUUUAAUAACUGCUAUCAAUUCUAGCUAAAAUGCCCUCCUAUGGAUCAUUACUUUGUGACUUGGCUUUUUCUUGUGCUUUUCCCUGGAAGUUGUCUUUUAGCUGUGGCCUGGGACCUCUGCCUGUCACUGCCCUCCUGAAAUGAUAAUCUUUGCUUCACUAACAGGAGAUACCUUACCAUGAUAAUUCAGCUCUUUAUACAUCAGGUUUUAAAAAACAAACCCACAAAACCCCAGUAACCACCACCAUCCCCAAACCUGUAGAAUUUUCUCUUCUCUCUAAUUUUCUCAUUGGAAUAAUAGAGAUAAUUACAGAUGCUUUCGGUGAUGUCAAUGCAGAUGCCUUCUUAGCUUUGUUUACACCUUUUAUUCAAAAAAAUAUUUCACAUUAUUACUAAGGCAGGAAUAAAAAAAAAAAAAACAGUGAAAAUGUAAUUUAAAUGAAGCAAUACUUUUGAGAGUUACAGGAAUAGCAGUGAGCAGCUCAUGGUGCCAAACUGAAUGGCAAAAUGUGUACAAUUUUAAGCGGUCUUAUUACAGCACAGCACCUUCAGCACUUCACUUUGGAAAGUGAAGAUUUAAGGUGAAGUUUCACAUAAAUAUAGUAUUCCUGCCUCUUCUCAGCCAUAUCAGCAGUGGAGAGCAGAAAUGCAGCUGCAAUUUUGAGCUGCACUUGCAGCUUGAAGUGUUCGAACCCUUCAGCUUCACCUUGAACAAAUGAAACCAUGCUAGAGCUGGCUCUUCUCUAGAGACCUGGCUUUACAAGAAAAGCUCUGACACAGCCAGGGCUGUGCAGGGCUGAUGGCUGUGCCACACAGAGAGGCUGGGACAGGGCAGGGUGUGAACAGCACACAGAGCAAACAUUCCCUGUGCAAAUCCUGCAGUUCUGCAUUUUGCCCUGUGCUGGGUCCUGGUUUCUGUUCCAUCAAGUCCAAUGCAAAGUCUUCAGACUGAAGAAAGACAAAGACAGGCUGGGCUCUCACACUUUUCUUCAGGAAAAGACUGAAAUUCAGUUUCAUCCUUUGGCUAAGAGGCCUGGAAUACCCACGACACUCUGUGACAGGAAUAUUUCAACCAUCUGAGCUUAGUGUUAGAAUUGAAGUUUCUCUCAGUCUCUCUUUUGGAGAUGUUCCAUUCCGUUUUCAUUUGAAUUAAUAGUGCAAAUGUAGUCUAGUUUACAAACUCAUCUGGGUGGCUGCAGUGAAUAUGUGAGAUGAAAGUUGACCUCUGUCAGGGAAGAAUUUUUGUUUGCCAAACAGGCUUCUGGGAGACCUGCACAAGCACCUUGAUGAGAAAUAUCCCUUGAAAGAGGUGCAAAUGAGACCAGGGGUCCUAUAUUCAUUCUCAAAUGUCUUUUCAAAUGAACCAAAGCUAUGCAGCAAAUCAAAGUUCUAUUAAGAACAGAGAUGACUGAAGAGAUAUUCUUUGUGUGUUUGUUAAAUGAAAAAAAAACAAGAAACCAUGAACAUUAGUAAACACAUAUAGUUAUCUUUUCAUCCUCCGUUAGAUGUUUCUCCAAGUCCUUACAUUUACUUACUUAAAAGUGAAUUGUUGCGUAAAAAGUCAUACAUGGUUUUACAUCAGGUUUCCUCUGUCAUUUCAGUGCUUGUGGGAUAAAAUACCAGAGGGAUAAAAUGGCAGCAGAGAUAAAGCUCUCAGGGUAUCCCUGUAUGAAUACAUGCACAAUCCUUCUCCAUUUCCCAUGCAAACUGCUCCAUGCCAGAUUUGAAUUCUGAAAACCUCUCCUUACGUUUGCACAUAUACUCUCACACUUCUGCAGCAGCACAGGUGCGUUGUCACUUGUUCCCUUUCCUGAGGAGCACAGGGAUUGAAAACAUUGUGUGUGUGUUGGGGACAGGGACUUGGGGUGCUGAGGAAAGCAGGAGUUUUGUGGCAUCUUGUCUGCAGAAGAUUACAAACCAAUUUCAUAUUUAAAAGCUGAGAAUUACAGGCUCAACCAGGAGUGAUACAAGUAUCAACUUUUAAUUUGCUGUGCUUUCAGAUUUUUUUUUUUUUUUUUUUUUUUUUUUUUUUUUUUUUGUCUCUCACAGACAGAGAGCUCUAGGCAAACACUUGAGGACAUGUAAGAGAAUUACACUUUUAAUAUUAUAGUGCUCAUUAUUUAAAUUAAUGGCUGUGAGAAGUUGCUUGGAGACAUUUUUUUAAACUUCCUGAAAUGAUCAUUAAUAUUUGAUGAGAGGAAGAACACUAUCUCCUGGAGUAAUGAAUUGGUGUGUUAUGAAACCCUGUAUCCACACACUUCUUGGGCAAAAUUUGCUCAUUCCUUUGGCUCACACUGCUCCCAAAGGGGCUGGAGCCUCCACUGGAGCUGGGCUUUCCACCUGCACAGUCCUGAGCUGCUGCUUGCUGGCUUCUACCUCUCCCACACCUUUCUCAAGGGGAAGCUGGUUUAAAACAUCCCCUGAAUUUGAAAUGUUGAUGUUGGGUGUGUAGACAAAAGGAUUGAUGUUUUCUGGAGUAACUUGGGCAGUGAGAGGCUGAGCUACACACCUGAGGCACCAAGUACUUAUAGCAAGUUGUCUUGGUUUGCAAAGACAGGUAUCUGUCAGGGAAAACUGGAGUUUCCCUUGGAAUGGAGAAUGUAAAACCCCCUCCCUCAAAAUUAUUACAAUUUUGCAAUUAGGAACUUUCAGAAAAAAAAAAAAAAAAAAAAAAAGGGAAUAACAGUUCUUUACUAGGAUAUUAAAAAAAUACAAAUGCAAUAAUACAAACAAAACAAAACCAAAACCAACCAACCAAACAAGGCAAACAAACAAAAGUCCUAGGAAACCCUGACGGAGUUAGGAAUACGACCUGGCACCCUGUCAGCCAGGGUGUUGGGAGCAGUCCAAAUAAGUCCUCCUGGAGCAAUGAAUGUGGUUCUGUUGGAGUAGAGAUGAUCCUGUAGACAGGUUCAGUGGUGGUGAGAUGAGUCCAGUCAUCCUCUGGGAAUCCAGUGGAAAAGAGGAUGAUCUGGGGUCCCUGUGUCCCCAUUUUUAUCUGGGUAGGGAAUGGUUGUCUCCUCCCCACAAUGGGAUGGUGUAAUGUGUCAUGGCACUGGUGAGCCUUAAUGGCCCAUUAACAGAAGAUAUCCCCCAGAGGGUGGACAGCUGAUGAAAGAGAUAAGAAACAUUGCCCCACCUGGUUUAACAGCUGGUCUGUUAUCAGAAGGCAUCCACCCUCCUCCAUCCUGGAGUUACAAGAGAUAAAGAAAAAAGAAACCCUCCCCCAACUGCUUUCUACAGAUGAAACAGAAUACACUUUUCUUUUGGUUACAUAACCCAAGACACAGGGCUUCUGUGGGACAGGGCAAAGAUUUCCUCUGCUUGGAACCUGGACAUAAAUACCUCUGCAAACCACAGUCCUGUAGCUUUGCAGGGGGCAUUCUCACAGCCUGUGCCAGCUAUUGUAUUUGCAACCAGCUAAAUCUAGAUGGAAUUAUCAAGAUAUUCAAGGUCAUUAAGAACCUCAAAUGCAAGGACCAGAUUCCACUGCUCUAUUGACUCUUCAGCUGAGGUUUCUUUGUUUCUGUCUUCAUUAAAAAAAAAAACCAAAACAACAUUUCCCAUUGUUCAGAUGGUCCUGUAUGUAAAUCUUCAGUCUCUCCUGUAUCUGCUCAAGUGUUUCACCUUUGUCAGUUAUCCACUUACUUACUGUCUAUUCCUUUCUCUCCAAUCUUUGUCACCUGUUGAACCAGCUUGCUUAGUGCUCCUUCUCUGGUUUUCUUCCAUUUUCUGUAAUCCAUAAUUCAUUUUCUAAUAAAAAAAUCCUUAAAUAUCCAUUAAAUAAUUUUGUCAGUGGAUUAUGCAACAGGGCUGUCUUAUACAAAAUCUAUAAAGAGAAUAGCUGAUUUCAGUGAUCAUGUGUGGAAAUUCAGGCAGGAGCCUGGGUCAUAAAGUCUUCAACUCUGACAGACAAAUUUUGUCUUUAAGGGAUAGUGAAGAAGAAAAAGCAUAAACUAUACAUAUCCAUACCAUUUGAUCAAGAGAAAUACUCAUGUCCCAAAUUUUCAGUCAAGGAAGUCAGUCAGGCUCUUUUUGGAUUCAAGGUGGUAUUGGGGCACUCAAAGUAGAGAACUUGGAAAAGGUGUCCAGUUCAGAAGAUUAAUCAGUUCAGUUAAGUUGGGCAACCAAACUUGGUGCUAGGCAGAAUCUGUAACUGAAUUUAUUCUGAAUCUAUUCAGAAUAAAUCAGAGUACACUUUGUUAUUUGCAGUAUUUCCUAUUCAUGCAGGGCUUUUUGUUGUUGUUGUUGUUUUGUUUUGGUUUUGGUUUUUUUUUGGUUUUUUUUUUUUUUUUUUUUUUUUUUUUUUGUUGUUUUUGGGUUUUGUUUGUUUGUUUGUUUUCGGUUUUUUUGGUGUGGGUUUUUUUUGUUUGUUUGUUUUUUAAUGAACCUUCAUUUUCAGUUAACCAGUUAGAUUUCACAAGGCAAAAAAUAAAGAAAAAUAUUAAUUUAGUGCUGUCCCAUUUUAAUAGCAAGAUUUCUUUGCUGGGAUGAAACACAAAAGGUAAAAGGCAUGAACUGAAAUGAAUACCUGAAAAUUCUUGUAAGGAUGAUCUUUAAUAGUUCUACAAGUUAUUUUGAACAAAUACGUUAUGGUUGGUGUUUUGCUACUGUGUGGGUCUCAGUGGACAUAAUUAAUAGAGAAGUUGUUUUUUAUUUUUAACAAGAAUAUUUUCUAGUGCCCCUGAAAAUGAGGGCAUUUUUUCUAAUUAAUAAUUCUCUCUGUUUAAAAGAAAUAAUGUUCAGUUAUAAUAAUGGCCACAUUCUUUGCAUGACUGGAAGGCAGCUGCUAAGCAUACUGUGAAGUCCUGUCUCCAAAACCCAAUUCUGAAUGAAAUUCUAAGCUGGUAUAAACAGGCAUAACUUCAUGAAGUUGAGAGGAAUUACAUUUGCCUGCUGCAGUCUGGAGAUGGCCUUUAUUAACAUUCGAGACAUUAAGCAUAGCAGAAAGUCACUGACUUCCUUGAUUUUGAAAAGCUUGGGAUCUUUUGGAUGUACUGUAAACAAGAAUGGGGUAGAUUGGCAAUUUAAUAUUGUCUAAUGGCCCCAUUUCACUCAAGGUGUGUUAUUAAGCAACACAAAGAAUUUUUGAGGCUGUUCAAGGAGCUCUGGAGUCAUCAGUGCCUUUGUUGUGUGACAUGGUGCAACUCAUGUAGAGAUUCAUUUUGCUAAUUAUGUGGAUAAAAAACAGCGGUGAGGGAAACAAAAGACUAUUUCUCAUUCAAUUAAAUCUGUCAUUUAAAUGGUUUUUGCCAGCACUGGAGUUCUCUCAGCGCUUUAGAAAGUACUGUUUGUUCUCGUUGGUGAUCCAAAAAGCAACGUAAGACAAAAGUAAAGCCUUGUCCAUUAAAGAGGACACCCUUCCCCUGCCCCACACCCAUCCAAGGGGGCAGAUUUACACUGUGUGCAAAUCAAGAACCGGUUAUGCAGUCACCCUUGCUUGGAGAGGCUUUACUAACCUUUAAAAAUUUGUUAUUUUUGUGAGGGAGUUAAAAAUAAAGCAGUUGAAACAUUUUGGUGAGGAAACAAAAUUUUUGUCUUACCUUGUUCCAAUACGUAUUAAAAAACCCCCAUAUAAUUAAUUAUUUUUUUUCAAAUUCCUUGAUACUGAAUGUUCUCUGUCCUACAUGCCUGAGGUGUUACAGGUGCUGCUCCAUCUAAUGACUGUCUGAAGUUCUGGCACCACCCUGAGCUGGCAGAAAUCUCCUGGCUGACUUGGCCAGGUUCACUCAGUCUCUUGAGCUGUGCCUUCACCAGGCUCCAGCCAGGGCUGGGAGAGCCCUGUGUGUCCUGGAAAGCUUCUCCCUGUGACAGUGGCAGUCUGGAACUGGCAGCUUCAGCAGAGCCUGAGAUUGAGUGGUUUCCAGCCUAAUGGGACAGGCUGCAGAGAAAAAUGUCACAGGACAACAGUCUGCUGCUGGGGGGAAAAUGUCAAGGUGGAGCCUGGCCAUGCAUCAUCCCUAAACGCUGAGGCACCAGGAUUUCAAGGGGGAAGGAGCUGUUGGAACCAGCUGGGGCAGUGUUUCCCUUGCCCCUCCCUCUGGAUAUCUCCUGUUCAUGGGCCACCAAGGCCCUGCCCAUGGCUCACAGGUAACUCCCCCUGGAGCUCUCUCUGUUCAAUGGGCAAUCAAGGACCCCCUGCAGGACUCAUGGAGUGAGAUCAGCCCGUUGGGAGAUGCUCUGCCCAGGAGGAGGAGCCAGGCAUUCCCACCUGGAUAUAAUCUGGGAAUUGGGACAGCACAGGGGCCUCACCCACUGGAUUCCCAGAGGACAAGAGCUACCAGGCCUUUCUACAGGAUCACUGCUUCAACAAGAGUGCUUCAUCUGGACUGCUGCCACCACCCUCACUAACAGGGUGUCAGGCUGUAUUCUGACUCUGUCAGUGAUCUUUUGUGCUAUUGCUUUUGUUUUAUUUUAUUUUACCUUUUUCUCUCCUAUUAAAUUGUAUUUCUGACUUGGAGUCUCUCACUGGUUUUGCUUUCAAAGCAGCACACACAGACAAAGCAGCACUUGUCACAGUUGUGUGUUCAAAACCCCUUCACCUGUGUUUUGGGGGGAUUUUUAUUUGUCUUUUAGGCAGAAAGGUUAACCCUUCUUUAAUGGAAAUGGAGGUAGACCUAGAACUGACCUACAUACCCCUUUCAGGUGCCCCUGGUAGCGAUAGAGUGUGAACUCCCAGUCAGUCUGUAAAAUCUCAGUGACUUCAAAAACAGUAGUCAUGCAAAUAGCCCAAGAAGCUACUUACAUAAAUAAGCUUUCCUUCAUUAGGAAGUAGAAAAAAACCUCUAG